rnacentral:scRNA from 1 species
GCUGGUGUGAGUGCAAUGGUGUUUAUCAUUAAUUGAUCACAGCCAGUUACAGACAUCUCUG